GGGGUUCAGUUACCUUUUGUUUAGGUUGUGAAAUGAGCUUUUGAAAUGAGCUGUUAAAUCGUUGCAUGGCGUUAUCAAUCCGCUUUUAGCUUUGUUUCUUUUUCUUCAGUAUCCGUCGUUCCAGACAACAACUGUAUCCUGUUCAACUGGUGGAUAGUUCUCUGGGCCUGUCUCUUUCAGUCAGGAGCAGAUAGCCCUGUCACAGGGGCCCCACUGAGUCCCUUGGAGAUCACCACCCAGACUGACACUACAUCGUCUGGGCCAAGAUACCCCACCCCCUCGCGAUUAGUGCCUGCAGACAGCAGACACCACACCGGCCUCAUCACAUUGUUCGCACAGCAACGAAUAAGGUGAUGUCUGUCUGUUUUAGAGAGGACCUGUUUGGUCACAGUC
rnacentral:lncRNA from 1 species